rnacentral:rRNA from 1 species
UAGGGAAUCUUCCACAAUGGACGAAAGUCUGAUGGAGCAACGCCGCGUGAGUGAUGAAGGGUUUCGGCUUGUAAAACUCUGUUGUUGGAGAAGAACGGGUGUCAGAGUAACUGUUGACAUCGUGACGGUAUCCAACCAGAAAGCCACGGCUAACUACGUGCCAGCAGCCGCGGUAAUACGUAGGUGGCAAGCGUUGUCCGGAUUUAUUGGGCGUAAAGCGAGCGCAGGCGGUUUUUUAGGUCUGAUGUGAAAGCCUUCGGCUUAACCGG